rnacentral:misc_RNA from 1 species
GAUCACUCUUCCUCAUCUCCAUAGCCAUAUCCAAAGUCCAGGGUCGACCUGUAGGACACAGAAAAUGGCAUUCCGGUUGGACUUGAUAAUUCUAGUGGCAUCUAUGGUGGGUGCAGCAGCUGCAGCAACCACAUAUACAGUUGGAGACACUACGGGUUGGACAGUUCCUCUUAAUACUUCUUUUUACGAUACUUGGGUUGCAAAUAAGUUGUUUGAGGCAGGAGACUCUCUAGAAUUCAAUUGGACAUCCAGUCACACUGUAUUGCAAGUGACAUCAAAGGCUGAAUAUGAUAAAUGCACAAAAACAAAUGGAAGUAAUCUCCAGCAAACCAGCCCUGCAACUAUUCGAUUGACCGAAAAUGGAACCUUCUACUACAUCUGCACCAUCGGCACUCACUGCGAUUUAGGUCAGAAGGUGACCAUCAAAGUUGGCAAUGGAAGUUCACCAUCAAACUCUGCACCUCUACCUCUCACCAUCAAUGUCUUUUCUCAACUUCUCUCUGCCACUAUCAUGUAUUUCUUGACUGCUCACAUUGUCUAAUGAAUUAGGAUUGUGUGUACAAUUUCUUGUUGUCUUUAGUGUUUUUGUACUAUCUGUUACUGUCAUGGANNNNNNNNUCUUAUAAAUUGUAUUGUGAUGUUUUUUUAAAUGAUAGUUAAUGUUUCGUGAA